rnacentral:rRNA from 1 species
AUGACCAAGUCUCUGCUGAACGAGAGCUUGGCAGAUUGCAGCAGAACUGGACUAAAUCCUUUCUGCGCUCUUAACAAGCCGCCAGCUGCCGAUUUACCUUUUUGGAGUAAGAAGCUGCAAGAUAAGUCGGCCAAGAAAACCCGGAUGAAUAACAAGGCUCUUGAAAAGCCUGCAAAGAAGAAGACCAACCCUUUUGAACUAUUUGAUUUGGAUGAUAAAGAUGAGUCGGAGGAUGAUGCGGAAGGAAGCCGAGCCAAUGUUGAAGAGAAGCAGCAACAUGAAGCUCGCCGUAUGACCUCGAACAUCGGUGGCGGGAUUCUUUCCUCCGACUUACCAAACACGCCGGCUCCUUGCAAGCGCCGACCAGAGGGGACUUCUCAUUCUUCCUCUGGCGACUCAACUGGGACUCAAGUCCCUCUUUUUGAAGACUGUGCCUGGCGCUAUGGCUAA